rnacentral:rRNA from 1 species
CGCAAAAGGCGGCAGCCCUAAACAUGCAAGUCGAGCGGUAACAGGUCCUUCGGGAUGCUGACGAGCGGCGGACGGGUGAGUAAUGCAUAGGAAUCUACCCGGUAGUGGGGGAUAACCUGGGGAAACCCAGGCUAAUACCGCAUACGUCCUACGGGAGAAAGGGGGCUUUGGCUCCCGCUAUCGGAUGAGCCUAUGCCGGAUUAGCUGGUUGGUGAGGUAACGGCUCACCAAGGCGACGAUCCGUAGCUGGUCUGAGAGGAUGAUCAGCCACAUCGGGACUGAGACACGGCCCGAACUCCUACGGGAGGCAGCAGUGGGGAAUAUUGGACAAUGGGGGCAACCCUGAUCCAUCCAUGCCGCGUGUGUGAAGAAGGCCCUCGGGUUGUAAAGCACUUUCAGCGAGGAAGAACGCCUGGUGGUUAAUACCCGCCAGGAAAGACAUCACUCGCAGAAGAAGCACCGGCUAACUCCGUGCCAGCAGCCGCGGUAAUACGGAGGGUGCAAGCGUUAAUCGGAAUUACUGGGCGUAAAGCGCGCGUACGUGGCUUGAUAAGCCGGUUGUGAAAGCCCCGGGCUCAACCUGGGAACGGCAUCCGGAACUAUCAGGCUAGAGUGCAGGAGAGGAAGGUAGAAUUCCCGGUGUAUCGGUGAAAUGCGUAGAGAUCGGGAGGAAUACCUGUGGCGAAGGCGGCCUUCUUGGACUGACACUGACACUGAGGUGCGAAAGCAUGGGUAGCAAAACAGGAUUAGAUACCCUGGUAGUCCACGCCGUAAACGAUGUCUACCAGCCGUUGGGUGCCUAGCGCACUUUUGUGGCGAAGUAACUCGAUAAGUCGACCGACUGGGGGAGUACGGCCGCAGGUUAAAACUCAAAUGAAUUGACGGG